ACCACCUCAGCCUCCCCGACCUCCGGCGCCUCCUCCUGGGCGCGGCCACAUCGGAUCCACGCGCGUACCCAUGCGCGAUGCCUCCUCCACUAGCACCCCCUCCAGCCUCCUGGGCGCACCCUCACCGGAUCCGGCCGCCACCUCCUCCCCACGCCGAGGCUCCCCGCCGGCGACUCCUCUCGAGAUGUUUCGUGGUGGUGGUCGUGGCCAUAUGCACGAUAGUGAAUCUCAACGUCCAGCCGUACACUUCCAUGAAGCCAUUACCUUGCCAUUAGGCAAUCGAACGAGCGGAUCAAUUCCAAAUGUUGUAAGAUUCAUUUGUUAUUUUUAUAUAGUUUUAUCUACACUUCAAUAAUUUCUAAAUUUGCUCACAUACAAUGCAGCAUAUCAAUCUUAUUAGAUGGCUUAAAGAUGUUGUCGUUUGUUUUGAUGGUACUACUCCUGUGGUGCAACUUGAGCUUGUUCGCUAACCGAAUUUCAAAAGAGUACAUAUUUUUUUCAAGUACAUGUUCGACAUAUAGAUUUCGCCUCGAUGGAACCAGGAGAACCAAUCUCCUUGAGGAUACCGAUGGUUUCUAUUGCCGCAAUGGGUGGAGUGGCACAAAUUUGGACAACUUAUGAGAGGCUAGCAGUGGAGGCCUGCCUGUAGCAGCAUAAGAAUUAUGGGUACUUUGUGUCCGACUUUUCAUAUUUUCGAAUUAAGCAGCUACAGGCGGGAGAAAGCAAUGUUAUUCUGAUUGCAGAGUGGCUUUGUCGGCUUACUCGACAAGACAGAGAUCUCAUCGAUGGUGAAUCUACCAUUGCGGCAGUUAGCUUUCCGGCUAUUCUAAAUCAAGUCUUGGAAUACUUAGGUUUGACUUACAUGGGUGGAGAUCCAUUCUUUACUAGAGAUUUAAGGUUCCAAGCAAAGCUCUCCUUUUGAAAAACAAGUCAGCUUAACACUCCAUUGUUCGAUAUUUGUAGUUCUAUACGAGUGCACUUAUUUGUGCUCUAGUAUAUUUUGAUGAAAUUCUAGGCUGGACGAUUGGCGACCUUAACUAUCUUAAAUAUUUACAGAAGCAGGCUACAGUAACUUAAAAUUUGUAAUAUGCAUGGAUGUAUGCUACUAUUAUCUUAUGGAUUUGAACAGCUUGUACAAACUUAAGUAUUUGUAAUAUGCAUGGAUGCCCUACCUUUAUCUUAUGAAA